rnacentral:tRNA from 1 species
GGGCGCAUAGCUCAGUUGGCUAGAGCACUUCGUUUACACCGAAGGGGUCAGGGGUUCGAGUCCCUUUGCGCCCAC